rnacentral:ribozyme from 11 species
AAAAAAAGAAAGAAAGAAAAAAAAAGAACAAAAAACGAAACACGCACACCAAUAGUAUAGGGCCGACAGACU